UAUAGUCUAUAAGCCAAGAAUGUUUUUCACAUUUUCAGUUUGUGGAAAGAAAAAUCAGAAAAGAAUACUGUUUUGUAUGAAACUUUUAUAUAAAAGUUACAUGAAAUUCAAAUUUCAUGACCACAAAUAGUUUUACUGAAUCACAGCUACAUCCAUUUAUGUAUUUAUGUAUUGUCUAUGGCUGCUUUUGCACUACAAUGGCAAAGUUGACUAUUUCAAUAAAGAUUGUAUGCCCUAUAAAAUAUAAAAUGCUUAGUAUCUGGCCCUUGACAAAACAAGUUUGCUGGCCCCUUGUGUAUAUGACUGGAGUCUACUGGACAUGUGCACGUUGCAGCUUGCAUGGCUCUAAGUCAUGGUUCCAAUAACAAUCCUAUCUGGAAAUGUAGGUUCAGAGAGGUUGUCACUUCUCCAUGCACUUAGGAAAUGGCAGAAUCAGAGGUUUUUAGGAUAAAUUUUUAAGGCUGAAAUAUGCACUUGAUCUCACCUAGAGUUCAGGACACUUUUCUCUUCUGGCCUCUUCUGGCUAUGUAACUUAACUAGCCACACGUAAUAUAACUUCCCCACUGCCUCCACUGUCUUCUCUGUACUCUCCUAUCUAGCUUUUAAUAUAUUUAUGGCUAAGGACAGGGUAGGGUGGGGAACAGGUCAAUGGAACAAAAGUACAAUUCACUCAUUCACAAUACUUUUCAUUCUCCCUCUUCGAGUCUCUCAAAUACACACUUGGCCCCUGCGUAUGAGGCUCUGCUGUCUCUGGCUGAGCUGAAAGUGAUGAAAAGGACGUGUGAUGGAAUGCUGGAAACCUCAUUACUGGCUCUUUGCCUACAGAAACUCAGCCAGCUUAUCUUCUUUCCCAACGAACUUCAAACUUACACUGGCUCAGCUGGUUCUAGGUGCCUGUAACAAGCUGCUCUGCCCAGUGGAGAUCAGAAGCCGAUAGAAGAUACUCUGCAUAUGCUUUGCUGUCCUGGAGAAUAUGUUCCCUUUUUUCUCAUUCUCAUUGUAGCAGAUUCUCCAAGGGUCUCGGCCACUCCUGGGUUGUAACGUGGAUACCGAAAAGUGCAAGUUACAAUAAUUUUUUCCUGGACGGUAUCCAGAAGACCAGACAUGUGAACAUAAUUUCUGUGGCUGCCCAAUUAUAGUUAGAACUUCACUUCUAAGCAAGGACAACUACACUGGCAGGACAUGGACUACGUAAAGUUGUGAGAAGAGCUUUCACAUAUGUUAAUCUCAUUGACUCCUCCCCGCAAACAGGAAUUUGUUAUUCCCAUUUUAUAGAUAAAGAUGCUGGGACUCAAGAGGAACUAAGCAGUGUAUAUUUUUCAUGUAUCCGCUUGAUGCAAUGAAUCUUUUGGCUUCAGAGCUACAUGUUGAAGAUGAAGGAGCCAUAGUGUGGAAAAGCCAAAGUUCCUGAAUCACUGACCAGGGGAGAGUUGCCCAUUAGCCAAGAAGACCGGCUUUAGACUUUCUGAGAAAAGGGUUUGCUGUCAAAAGGAAAAGCUCUGAGUCAUUCUUUAGAAAAGGUGAAGAGAGGAUAUGCAACCACAAGCCAAAGGUGACAGAUCGGAAAGGGACCAAUCACUGGGAGCAGGGUUUCUCGGGUUUGUGAGCCCCUUCCCUCAUGCAAUUGUGUCAAAUUGGGCCAAAAAUGCCUUCUGUAUCUUUCUCACAGAGGAGUGCUGUAAAACCCAAAGGGCAUGUAAAAUGAA
rnacentral:lncRNA from 1 species